rnacentral:lncRNA from 1 species
UUCCAAGACAGCCAGGACUGCACAGAUAAACCUCUGUCUCAAAACAAAACAAAACAAAACAAACAAACAAACAAAAAACAAAAAAAAACAAAAAGAAAAAAAGAAUAAAUAAGUUAGGCUUUUUGUCGCUGUAGAGAAAUAGGACGUACCAGAAAGGAGCCGGGUCUGGGUGUCCUCAGCCUCCUGAUUGGCUACUCUACUACACAUAAUUAAAUUAUGUGUUAAUCAUUAUCACAGUAACAAUGGCUGUUAAGGCCUUCUGCCUGUCACCUAAGGAUGACAACAUACAACAUUCAGCAUUUGAUUCAAUUUAACCAAUGGUCUUGGAGAAGUCUCACUGCCCAUCACAGGAACCUAGUUUUCUACUCUUAAGAAAGUCAAAGGACCAACAUCUCUCACCAGAACAAUGUUCAAUGCUGUAAGAAUGUUUUCAAAGUCUAACAGGAGGCACUGACUAGUACUUUCGUUUUGUUCAAAGCUCCAAAACCUCCUCAUAUGAGGUCCCUCAACCUAACUCUGGAAGCUUAGAACUUUGCAAGAUAAACCAAAUACAACUUUGGAUUUACGUUUUGAAUGAACAGAGUAGACAUGGUUGAAAAACUUUAUAAUUAAUUUUCAAGUGAAAAUGCCUGGACCUAAAUUCCAUUCUACCAUGGAUAAUACUCUGAUCUUCAGCAAACAAUUAGAGUAGUGCUGUCAAUCGGGUUUUGUUUGCUCUUCUGUAAAAUGACAGUAAUCUGCUUGAUCUUGGGGCUGCUGCCUCUGCAUAAGGAUAUAAAUAUUUGAUUGACCCCAGAGUGGCAAAACCUGUUAGUACCAAAAGCCUUUCUGAAGUCUCCCUGAUUUUAAAUGUCUUCAGUACUAUAACAGCUGUUUGCUUGCACAUUCCAGAGUCGAUGUCUGAAAAGUAUUGAGAUUGUGCCUGUACAGAGCCUCACUGGAGUUUUACAUGGUGUCUGUGCCCCAGGGCCCAUGCACCACUCACAGGAUGAGUGGGAGCCUCCACUGAGUGUGAACUGGGCAGCUUUUCAUGUCUGAGUUCAUGGAGUCAAAUGGAAUAAAACCAAUGAGUGAUGAAAACAACGGUUUUAAAGCUCCUCCUGUCCUUUUCCAACUGUUGAGUACAUUUUUAAUUUCUUUUUUAUUAAUCUCUAAGCCCUGAUCCCAUAGUGGACAAGACUGACUCAGAAGCAGAUCUCUGGACUACAACUGCUUUGUAAAACUACAGCUGAUGACUCCUCUUAAACGUAUUUAAUAUUUCUGAUAUAAUAUUUGCUAUCUUUGUGAAGUUAAUAAAUCUUUCAAAUGCCUUCUCAAUAUUAAUAUAUUGAUUCAAUCUUUACAGUGUUUGUGAAGGCUAAUUUAUUUUCAAAGUCUGGCCAAGAGAGACUUACAUUUAGAACUAACAAGAUGAAUCAUGUGAAGAUUUGUGCAAAGAGGAAUAAAAUAAAUAUUCAAAAGGCUUUUGAAUGCAUGCAACCUUCUUUCCAGUUAAAACAAUCAUUACUCUCUUAAACUACAAGGUCUAGAAUAUGCUGUCAGUUUGGGCUAUAAAAUUACCCACCUGUUCUGGCUACAGUUAUCAUCCUGUUCUACCUCACAAC